ensembl:snRNA U6 U6 spliceosomal RNA
GUGCUCGCUUUGGCAGCACAUCUAGUAAAAUUGGAGCAAUACAGAGAACGUAAGCAUGGCCCCUGUGCAAGGAUGACGCGCAAAUUCGUGAAGCGUUCAUAUUUUAA